rnacentral:tRNA from 1 species
GGGUUGAUAGCUCAGUUGGGAGAGCGCACGACUGAAGUUCACUUCAUUCAGCCAGAUCUGGCAAUCGUGAGGUCACCGGUUCAAUCCCGGUUCAGCCCA